UGAGGAAUAUUGGUCAAUGGGCGAGAGCCUGAACCAGCCAAGUCGCGUGAAGGAAGACAGUCCUAAGGAUUGUAAACUUCUUUUAUACGGGAAUAACGGGCGAUACGAGUAUUGCAUUGAAUGUACCGUAAGAAUAAGCAUCGGCUAACUACGUGCCAGCAGCCGCGGUAAUACGGAGGAUGCGAGCGUUAUCCGGAUUUAUUGGGUUUAAAGGGUGCGUAGGUUGUUCGGUAAGUCAGCGGUGAAACCUGAGCGCUCAACGUUCAGCCUGCCGUUGAAACUGCCGGGCUUGAGUUCAGUGGCGGCAGGCGGAAUUCGUGGUGUAGCGGUGAAAUGCAUAGAGAUCACGAGGAACUCCGAUUGCGAAGGCAGCUUGCCAUACUGCGACUGACACUGAAGCACGAAGGCGUGGGUAUCAAACAGG
rnacentral:rRNA from 1 species